CUGAGCUGUCGUGGGGCUAAAAGCCUGACGUGGGUCUCGAACUCACGGACUGUGAGAUCAUGACCUGAGCUGAAGCCAGACGCUUAACCUACUGAGCCACCCAGGCACCCCAAAAACACAUCAUUUUUUAGCAGACAGAACAAAAUCCAGAAUUGCAUCAAUGUAUUAUCAGUAAUGACCAGUAUACCAAAAAACAAAAUACAAAAAAAACACUGCAGGUAAAGAAGCAGGAAAGGAUCACUCAUAAUCAAGAGGAAAAACUUGCGUAUAGAAGCAGACUCACAGGCGACAUAAGUGUUGGAAUUAGCGGAGGACAGCUACUAUAAAUAAGUUAAAGGAUUUAAGGAUGUCAAAGAUGGAGAAUUUUGGCAGAGAAAUGAAAACUAUGAAAGAACUAAAUUGAAAUUAUAGCACUGAAAAAUGUCUGGAAAAAAAUGAACUGGAUGCAGUUAAUGGCAAAUUAGAGAUGACUGAAGGAAGAGCUAAAGAUAGGUCAGUAGCCAUGAUCUACUUUGAAGAACAGAAAAAAUAAUUGGUGGACAGAUGAGCUUCAGUGGUCUGUGACAUGAUAUUGAAAGGUCUAACAUACAUGCAAUUAAAGCCCAGGAGAAGAGGAGAGAGACAGUAGGAUAUAAAAAAAAAUAUUUGAAGGAACAAUGGUCAUGAAAAAUAGAGGUAGACUGAAGGUCAGGGAACUUUAAGCAAGAUAAACACAAACCAUACCUGAGCACAUAACAGCGAAACCACCAAAAACCAAAGAUAAAUCUUGAAAGCAUUCAUAAAACUCUUCAUUGAUUUAACACUGGCUUCAAAUUAAAACUCCAAACUGUUUUUCUCUUUUGUUGGUUUCUUGAGUUAUGUCAUUUCCCACUUCACAUUUUCAUGUUAUCUAGUCAUAAUCUUCAUUGUUUGGCUAUCCCUUUUCCAUUUUUUUAUGUCUGUUUUAUGGUCUUCCUUCACAGUUGUAAUUGCUCUGUUAUAUUUUUUCUUUUAAAAAAAUAUAUAUAGGAAUAUUAGCUUAGAAUUUUCAUCUACCUGCAGUAGGCAUUUUGUGUGUGGGAGUUUUUAUUUAUAGGAAAAUUGGUACUCUAUUUUUUUCUUAUACUGCCUUAGUCUAGAUGCUGAGCAUAUUCAUUUUUAUUAAUCAUAGUUGAAUGAGAUGGAAAUUUCUGGAUUAGAAUUAGAAGUUUCUGUGGAGUUUGUUGGGAAGCCAGGAUAGCUUUCCAAGCUUCAUAGUUCAGGGAAACAAAAAAACAGCUGCCUUUGUGGAUAUAGUCCUAUCUCCCAUGGUUCUCGGGACCCAGCCUAGUUUAGGGACCCUGGACUUCCACAGAUUCUUUGUAUGUUGUCAUUACCAAGAAACACAGUAAUCACCUUCCAAGAGGAUGUACUUUUCAAAGUUGGUGGGAACUUUGUGAAAUCUGCCCCUUCAGGGUUCCGUCUUCCAGCAUUUUCUGAGCAUUUCUCUUUGCCCUUCUCCACUGGUAUCCUGUCAGACUUCAGUCUUGUUCACAAUGGUUUCUUUUCCACAUAGGAUCCUUUCCUUAUAGAAUGUAACAUUUGUGGAAAUCUCUGAGAUCUUCCACUGCCGGGCCCUCUGUUCUUCUCUAAGACAUGCAUCACAGACUCCUAUGCAGGCUUCUUAGUGACCCUACCUUUGGUAGUGCUUAUGCCCAGUUUUGAGUUUUCAGAUUGUCCCUGUCUCCUGUAUUCACUGAAAUGUAGUUUGAGGGAUUUUUCUUUCUCCUCCUAUUUCUCUGGUUUCUAGAAGAAAUAGUGCAAUUCAGAAUUUAGUUUCUACCUCAUUCCGAUGGAACCCAGAACUCUAAGUAAGACAAAAUAUAUCCAAUUGAAUAUUUAGAUGAUUUUCUUUGUAAUUGAGAUUUUGAAAUAAGAGCUAAAUUACACGAAUGAUGGCAGAUGGUGGGAGCCAGGUUUCUCACUGGUAGGGGUGGGGGUGGUUACAGAUAAACAAGAGCAGGAGGCUGGAAUGAUCCAUGUGGUGAGGAUUAGUGUUGGAGACAUCAGUAAGAACUCAUGUUUAUCUUAAAAUAAAAUAAAAUAAAUAAAUAAAAUAAAAUAAAAUAAAAUAGAUGGUCACAUAUAGGGGAUUUUUUGUAGUUAGGUGUAUUUUACACAGGUUAUUAUACACAUAUUUCUGUGGUCAGUUGAGAGAAUAACACCUAAAAGAAAACACUCCAGUGGCAACCAGCACACCUAAUGCCCAGAUCUUGGUUUGUGAUAUUCUCUAAUAAAAGACUCCUUGGAGAAAUAAUUGAUUCUAGGACUGAGGAAGUAAAUAUAUAUAUGAUGAGCUUGAAGCAUCUUGUAGUGCCAGAAAGUAAGGAAGUGAUCAUAAAUUCAAAACCAAAACCCACACACAUACACACAUUAAUGGUGAUAUGUAAAAGGGACACAGGAGUUAGCUGAAAGAGCUCCCGAUCGGCAAAAGUGGAACAAUUUGAGCAAUGAAAUUAAUGAAGGAGUGUUGAAUUAUAACCCAACAUAUAAAAUAAAUAUCUGUAAGUCUGUACCGAUGUAAACAAAUGAUUGAAUAAAUAAAUCAAUGGGAGAGAAUAGACAGAUAUCCUGUGCAGAAUUCUAAAUAAUAAUGUAGCUACUUCUCCUUCAACUCUCCACUCAUUAAGUGUGGUGUAGGCAUAGUAACUUCCAAAGAGUACAAUAUGGAAAGGGUUUGGAAAAAGAGUAGGUUUAUUGGAGAAAUAUAACAAACAUGCCCCAGCCAGGUAAAGUCAAUAUGGGCCAAGUUAUAUUGAUAAUAUAUACUAUUGACAUAAUGUUAUGAGAAUGGCUCUUUACCUCUGUUUCUUCCUUCCAAAAACCCAUAAUCCCAUAAUCAUGAGAAAAACAUCAGAGAAGUCCCACUUAAGAGACAUUUUACAAAGUCCUUCGUCAGUACUCCUCAGAACUGUCAAGGUCAUCAAAAACAAGGAGAGUCUGAGACACUGUCACAGCCAAGCAAGGAGGAGUCUAAGGAGACAUGAUGAUUAAAUGUAAUGUGGUAUCUGGGGUGCAAUUUUGGAAAAGAAAAGAGGCAGUAUGUUAAAAACUAAGGAAAUCUGAAUAAAGUAUGGAUUUUGGUUAAUAAUGUAUCAGUAUUAAUUGUGACAAAUACAUCACACUAAGAUGUUAAUAAUAGGGGGAUGCUGGGCAAGGGGUACCUGGAAAUUCUCUGUAUUCACAACUUUCCUGCAAGUCUAAAACUAUUCUAAAGUUAAAAUUUUAUUUACAAGUUGUUUUUAAAAUACCUCCACAAAUUUCUAACUUGAUCCCUAGGAGCUCCCUAGGAGAUGGUAUUAUUCUCAUUGAGAACCUACUGAACUGGUCCCAUACUUCAAACUCUGAUGUCUUACCUCUCUUUGCUCACUUAGAAAAAUUGAAGGUCACAAAGGAAAAAAAAAAAAAAAGCAACCAAGAAGUCUGUGCAAGAUGUUGCGUUGGCAGUGGGAAGUUCUUCCGAGAUUUAACAAAGAAAUUUGGCUAAAGAAAAUUCAGACAGGUGUACAUCAUGGCCAGCCUUACUCCAUUCAUUCAUGUGCACUCUGGAUUACCGCAGGCAAGUCAUAGUUAGAUUGAUGAUGAUUUGUAUAACCCAAAUACAUGUUUUUAAUUCAAUGAUAAAAUGAAAAAGAAUGGUCUCCAUUUUCUACUUUGGGUUUUUAUUGGUAGCAGUGUUAGGCUUUUAGACCAAUAAACUUAUUUUUUAAGCAAG